CAGACAAAAAAAUCACACACGCAUUCAAUAUACAAAAAAAAAUCAGAAUACCAAGAGGUGAUCUUUCUGGGUUCUUUUCUUUCUUUUAUUCGCAGUUCUUCUUUUCAUUUUAUAUUCUGUUGAUUGUUUAUUAAAAAAGAAGCGGUAGCAGUAAAAGAAAGGCGACGUACUUAGUAACCGCAUCCUCUUUCUCUCCGUCGUCAUCGGAGUUGAAUGGGGAUCGGGGCCUAAGGUGAUGAAUCGUCAGAGCGGCGCAAGAGGAAGGCCAUUGCUCUUUAGGUUUUAAGAAGGUUAAAAGGUUUUAGGUUAGAUCUUUAAGGGCCAUCAUUAAAACGCUGACGUUCAAGGUCAAUAUAAUGACUUCGAAACGCCGCCGUUUGAUGGCCGAACCCGAGCGGUGACCCGAUCUAGGGAAGGAUCCACGUGUUAGGACCAAAUGGUCUAUUUAUUCGAUCGGUCCUUGCGUGUUUAUGGAGUUGCAAUUUGAUCUUUUUUUAUCUGUUUGUAAUUUGUACUUCAUAUUUUGUUCUGUUCUCAUUCAGAUCCAAAUUGAAACGGUACCGUUUUAUGUGGUUGAUUGAAAUUAUUUUAGUGUUUGCGCUUAAUUGCUGGAUCAAUCCCUUAGUUUUGAAAUAAAUUUCGAUUUAAUAUAAA
rnacentral:lncRNA from 1 species